UUAUUCUUUUGACUGCUCUAUCUUUACUUUUGGUUUUGGUUCAGAGCUUUGAGGCUCUCAGAGCUGCUACCUAUAACCAGGUCUCUAAUGGAAGCAAUCUGCUGUGUGGUCUGACAGGUCUGGGUUUGGGUUAUUGGCAGACUUUGAGUCCUGCGUGUAUUUAGAGGCUUUCUAUUGUGAAUGAAGGAUUGAAAUUCUCAUAGAUACUGGAAGUUGGCAUGAUGAUGAUUUCUAUUUCCUGUGUGUAUUUAAGGUCUAGGCUUGCCAACUUUACAGAGCGAUGUCGUACUGCGGAGAUGUGUGCAUACCAUACAGCAGCCCAUGUGAUGUUACCUGCUCUCCUCCCUUGGCCAGAGCCUGCAAUGAGCUGUGUGUGACAUCCUGCAAUGACUCCAGAGCCAUCGUGUACCCACCACCUGUGUUCCUAACUUUCCCUGGGCCAAUUCUCUGCUCCUGCCCACAGGAAAGCAUUGUGUGUAGCACUGGACCACUGGGCAUUGGUGUCCCCUUUGGUCCUGGGGAUUGCUUUGGUUACAGGAGCUAUGGAAAUCCUGUUGGUUUAAGGGGCUCCCUUCGUUUGGGGGAAGGGUAUGGUUCUGGGAGUGCAUGCAAUUACAACAGGUCUUACAGUUCUGCAUACCCACCACUGGGGAGGGGGUUUUGUAGCCCAUUCUCCUACAGCACUUCCAGCAGAGCUGGCUCAGGACCGUGCUAAAAACAUCAGAGAAGUUCACUGCACUGAGCAACCAGGGUAUGGAAAACACAGCAGAAAAUCAUGAAUAGGAAAUUGGUUUGAGCCUGAGCAGAGCUCGGAUCUGUCUGCUCUGAAUGGAGCCAGCAGAAGCUGGGUGCUCUCAGAGGUAUCUGAAAAACAUUCUUAUAGGUGGAGGUGGGUAAAGUGUACAACAUGUGCACAGCCUAUAAGCAUCUUUUCCAUUUAACACUCCAAGCUUUUGGCACUUUCUGUUUCUGUCUUCCCGUCUCAGCAUUUAUCCCACUCUCCUUGGGGAUGGGAUGGAUGUUCAGCUAUGGGGGUGGGGGUGAAUCUUGUGUACUGCAAGCAUUUUUUGGGGUGCCCUCAAUGCCCUUGAGGUUAACUUAAUGUGUCCUGGAAAAUUGUAUGUUGUUUUGUGGUCUUCCACAAAAUAAUAGAAUAAUAAUGGAAACCACAUAAGUCUUAAUAUCUCUAAAAUGAUUACAUUGUAAAAGAGUCAAAAUAGAACAUAUAGCUCCAAUUAUACAGCUAUAAUAAGGAACGUAGGAUUACUUAUGCCCUUGUAUCACAAACUUUGCUUUUAGUACUUGAAACUCCUGAAA